rnacentral:rRNA from 1 species
CGCAGUGGGGGCGCUAACCAUGCAAGUCGAACGAUGAAGCCCAGCUUGCUGGGUGGAUUAGUGGCGAACGGGUGAGUAACACGUGAGUAACCUGCCCUUGACUCUGGGAUAAGCCUGGGAAACUGGGUCUAAUACUGGAUAUGACCUCUUGCCGCAUGGUGGGAGGUGGAAAGAUUUAUUGGUCUUGGAUGGACUCGCGGCCUAUCAGCUUGUUGGUGAGGUAAUGGCUCACCAAGGCGACGACGGGUAGCCGGCCUGAGAGGGUGACCGGCCACACUGGGACUGAGACACGGCCCAGACUCCUACGGGAGGCAGCAGUGGGGAAUAUUGCACAAUGGGCGCAAGCCUGAUGCAGCGACGCCGCGUGAGGGAUGACGGCCUUCGGGUUGUAAACCUCUUUCAGCAGGGAAGAAGCGAAAGUGACGGUACCUGCAGAAGAAGCGCCGGCUAACUACGUGCCAGCAGCCGCGGUAAUACGUAGGGCGCGAGCGUUAUCCGGAAUUAUUGGGCGUAAAGAGCUCGUAGGCGGUUUGUCGCGUCUGCCGUGAAAGUCCGGGGCUUAACUCCGGAUCUGCGGUGGGUACGGGCAGACUAGAGUGCAGUAGGGGAGACUGGAAUUCCUGGUGUAGCGGUGAAAUGCGCAGAUAUCAGGAGGAACACCGAUGGCGAAGGCAGGUCUCUGGGCUGUAACUGACGCUGAGGAGCGAAAGCAUGGGGAGCGAACAGGAUUAGAUACCCUGGUAGUCCAUGCCGUAAACGUUGGGCACUAGGUGUGGGGGACAUUCCACGUUUUCCGCGCCGUAGCUAACGCAUUAAGUGCCCCGCCUGGGGAGUACGGG